rnacentral:rRNA from 1 species
AUUGAACGCUGGCGGUAGGCCUAACACAUGCAAGUCGAACGCGAAAGUCCUUCGGGAUGAGUAGAGUGGCGGACGGGUGAGUAACGCGUAGGAAUCUAUCCUGUAGUGGGGGAUAACGUUUCGAAAGGAACGCUAAUACCGCAUACGCCCCAAGGGGGAAAGCGGGGGAUCCUCGGACCUCGUGCUAUAGGAGGAGCCUGCGUCGGAUUAGCUAGUUGGUGAGGUAAAGGCUCACCAAGGCGACGAUCCGUAGCUGGUCUGAGAGGAUGAUCAGCCACACCGGAACUGAGACACGGUCCGGACUCCUACGGGAGGCAGCAGUGGGGAAUAUUGCGCAAUGGGCGAAAGCCUGACGCAGCCAUACCGCGUGUGUGAAGAAGGCCUUCGGGUUGUAAAGCACUUUCAGUGGGGAGGAAAAGCUGGUGGCUAAUAUCCAUCGGCCGUGACGCUACCCACAGAAGAAGCACCGGCUAGUUCCGUGCCAGCAGCCGCCGUAAAAC